rnacentral:rRNA from 1 species
AACGAACGCUGGCGGCAGGCUUAACACAUGCAAGUCGAGCGCCUCGCAAGAGGAGCGGCAUACGGGUGAGUAACGCGUGGGAAUCUACCGGGCCCUAAGGAAUAACGCAUGGAAACGUGUGCUAAUACCUUAUACGUCUUUCUGGAGACAGAUUUAUCGGGGUUGGAUGAGCCCGCGUUGGAUUAGCUAGUUGGUGGGGUAAAGGCCUACCAAGGCGACGAUCCAUAGCUGGUAUGAGAGGAUGAUCAGCCACAUUGGGACCGAGACACGGCCCAGACUCCUACGGGAGGCAGCAGUGGGGAAUAUUGGACAAUGGGCGCAAGCCUGAUCCAGCCAUGCCGCGUGAGUGAUGAAGGCCUUAGGGUUGUAAAGCUCUUUCACCGAUGAAGAUAAUGACGGUAGUCGGAGAAGAAGCCCCGGCUAACUUCGUGCCAGCCGCCGCGGUAACAC